rnacentral:lncRNA from 1 species
AUAUUAAUCAAAUAACAAUAUAUUAUUCUUUAUAUUAUUCUCAUAAUAUACUAAUAAUAAUUACUCUCUCUUAAUAAAUCAUCCUAUCAAGUUGCUAUGGUGAAGGCAACCCAAAAGGACCAUGCACAACCGGGUCAAAUACUUGCCUAAUAUAGUUGCAGCCUUAGACACUAUUCCAACAGUCUCCCACUUGGAUAAGUCUAGUAACUAUAUGCACUAGUACAAUUCAGUUUGCAAUCGUAGCUCUCAAAGACGCUGUCAAACUCUGAUCUAAUCAAUAUUGUCCUUUAGAUAAGGGAUCGUACAGUCCUCUGUUAGAUAUCAUGCUGACAAUCCUAUGGAAUGGUUAGUCAAGCAUUUAGGUUUCUCGAUCUCUGAUUUAUUUGACAUAGAACUUAAUCGAACACAUCAAUUCAGUUCUGACCGGGCCCGACACAUAAGUCAAAUCAAAUCAUCGAGCGGCCGAGAUAUCGCUUUUACCUUCUUAGAUAAAAGUUACAGAUAAACUUCGACUUAUAUGCAUUUACUUAUUCAUUAAUCAACUAUACACAAUAAUGCGUUUUAUAACAUUAAGUUACCAAUGCAUUUUCGCAUUAUCAAUGUACAAUCAAUUAACAAAUAACAAACCAUAUAUCUAGGUUUUAAGACUAUAUGAUAUUAUCGUCUUGCGAUCACCCUUUUAUAUCAUAUUCCAUAAGGUGAUUCCAGCAAGCGCGGGUUUGUUCCAAUGCUCAAAACUAGUUCAUAAGCACUCAUGAACGUUGCAGCAACCCUUUGCUAUGUCUAACACCAUUUAGACAAUCUACACACCAAUUCAUGACAAUCUUCAUUCAUAUCUACUUCCAACAUAUGAACGAUUGUGGACAAUUUGAACAAUUCGAUUAUUCCUAAUAAACUCAAUUAUUCUGGAAGUCAAAACAUGCAAAGUGAAACAAUAGCUAAACAAUUAACAUAAGAUAGUAACAUUACUCAUAAAUAAAACUCCUUUAUUUAAUCAUCAAAUGUUAAUUACAUUUAUCUAUUACACGUUUCUAAUACUAUCUAAUCUAUGCUAAUAUCAUCCUUCAGCCCAAUACUCCUAGCAUGCUGCAAGUGCUUAACCCUACUCAGUCCCUUCGUAAGCGGAUCUGCUGGGUUAUCUUCUGAUGAUAUCCUCUUCACUACGAGUUGUCCUUCUUCUACACGAUGUCUAAUGAAGUGAUAUUUUCUGUCGAUAUGUCUUGAUCUACCAUGAUCCCUCGGUUCCUUGGUCAAGGCAACCGCUCCUUCGUUAUCACAGAAAAUCUCCAUGGGCUCCUUUAUGGCAGGUACAACUCCAAGAUCACCGAUGAAGUUCUUUAGCCAUAUUGCCUCCUUCGACGCUUCGCUCGCUGCAAUGUACUCUGAUUCGCACGUUGAAUCAGCUACGGUUUCCUGCUUGGAACUCUUCCAUGUCACUGCUCCUCCAUUUAGGGUAAAGACCCAGCCCGACUGCGAACGGUAGUUGUCCCUGUCGGUCUGAAAACUGGCGUCACUAUACCCUCGCACCUUCAAGUCAUCACUCCCUCCGAGGACUAAGAACCAUUCCUUCGUCCUCCGAAGGUACUUAAGGAUAUUCUUCACCGCAAUCCAAUGUGCUUUGCCAGGAUUCCCUUGAUAUCUGCUAACCAUGCUCAAAGCGAAGGCUACAUCAGGGCGAGUACAAGUCAUAGCGUACAUGAUUGAGCCAACUGCGGAAGCGUAUGGUACUCGGCUCAUUUCUGCUAUCUCAGCUUCGGUACUCGGACUUUGAGUCUUACUCAAUUUGGCAUUACUUUGUAUCGGUAGUUCUCCCUUCUUUGAGUUUUCCAUACUAAAACGUUUUAGUACCUUCUCUAAGUAAGUAUUCUGACUAAGUCCAAUUAGUCUCUUACUUCUUUCUCUUACUAUCCUUAUUCCCAAAAUGUAAGAAGCCUCUCCGAGGUCCUUCAUAGCGAAGCACUUCCCGAGCCAGGACUUAACCUCCUGCAGAGUCGGGAUGUCGUUUCCUAUGAGUAAUAUGUCAUCGACAUAUAGAACGAGGAAGCUUACUAUACUCCCACUGGCUUUGACAUAUACACAAGAUUCGUCUUCGCUUCGUACAAAUCCAAACUCUUUGACUUUCUCAUCGAAGCAAAGAUUCCAUCUGCGAGACGCUUGCUUAAGUCCAUAAAUGGACUUCUCAAGCUUACACACUCUAUUCGGAUGCUUCGGAUCCACAAACCCCUCUGGCUGAGCCAUGUAAACAUCCUCAGCCAACUUUCCGUUAAGGAAAGCGGUCUUGACAUCCAUUUGCCAAAUCUCAUAAUCAUGAAAUGCGGCAAUAGCUAGCAUCACUCUAAUAGAUUUAAUCUUCGCAACUGGUGAGAAGGUCUCAUCAUAGUCAACUCCGGGAGUUUGAGUAAAGCCCUUCGCAACCAAUCGCGCUUUAUAUGUGUGUACGUUUCCAUCCACGUCGGUCUUCUUCUUGAAGAUCCAUUUGCACCCAACGGUCUUACGUCCGGGCACAUAAUCAACCAAAUUCCAAACUUGGUUAUCAUACAUGGAUUGGAUCUCGCUAUCCAUUGCCUCUUUCCAUUUUGCAGACUCCGGGCCUGCCAUGGCUUCCUUAUAGCUAUUAGGUUCAUCAAGAUUUACUAGUGUACCAUCACUAAUAUACGUGUCCCCUUCGGUAGUAAUAUGAAAGCCAUAAAACUGGGGAUGAACUCUAACUCUAUCGGAACGUCUAAGAGGUAAGGAUUCGUCAAUCGGUUCAACCGGAGUUUCCUCCUCGGGUUGAGUGCCAGCGGUAGAGGUUCCUUCAUCUAUCGACUCUUGAAUCUCUUCAAGUUCGAUUUGCCUCCCACUGUCUCCUUGGCUUAUGAGUUCUCGCUCUCGGAAAACUCCUCUCCUCGCAACGAAGACAACAUUGUCCUUCGGUCUAUAGAAGAGAUAUCCAAAGGAUGUCUGCGGGUAGCCGAUGAAAAUACAUCGCUCACUUCGAGGUUCAAGCUUGUCGUGAGUAUCUCGUCUUACGAAAGCCUCGCAACCCCAAACCUUGAUAUGUGCCAACGAGGGAGCUUUCCCUGUCCACAUCUCGUGAGGUGUUUUGGCAACCUUCUUAGUAGGGACUCGGUUAAGGAUAUGGGCGGCAGUCUCUAAGGCAUACCCCCAAAAAGAGAUUGGUAGUGAAGCACGACUCAUCAUAGAGCGAACCAUAUCCAAUAAGGUUCGAUUACGCCUUUCUGCCACACCAUUCAACUGCGGUGUCCUAGGAGGCGUCAAUUGUGAAACUAUUCCACACUCCUUGAGAUAAUCGUGGAAUUCAAGACUUAGGUACUCUCCUCCUCGAUCGGAUCGAAGCAUCUUGAUUUUCCUGCCCAAUUGAUUCUCCACUUCAUUCUUGAACUCUUUGAACUUUUCAAAGGUGUCUGACUUUUGCUUGAUUAAGUAGAUAUACCCAUAUCUACUAUAGUCAUCGGUAAAAGUCACAUAGAAGCGGUUCCCAUCCUUCGUGGUUGAUCUAAACGGUCCACAUACAUCGGUAUGUAUUAGGUCCAAUAGACCCUCGCCCCUUUCACAUGUACUCGUGAAGGGUGACUUAGUCAUCUUUCCAAGCAAACAAGACUCGCAUGUGUCAUCUUCCCUAAGGUCGAAUGACUCCAACACUCCAUCCUUUUGGAGUUGGGCUAUGCGUUUCUUGUUGACAUGUCCAAGACGACAAUGCCACAAGGAUGCUUUAUCCAUACUAGUGGAAGAAUCAAUAUUCAAAACAUCAUUUCCUAAGUUAUCAACAAUCAUAACGGUUUCAUAUAUUCCAUUACAUGGUAUAGCUUCAAAGUAAAAGACACCAUUUAGAUAAGCCAAAAUAGAACCAUUCUCAUUAUUAAAAGAAAAUCUAAAUCCUUGUCUAUAUAAACCAUGAAAUGAAAUGAUGUUUCUUGCCAUUUCUGGCGAAUAGCAACAAUUGUUCAAAUCUAAAACUAAACUAUUCCUAAGCACUAAGGAAUACACUCCAAUCUUGGUCACAGGCGACGAUCUUCUGUUCCCCAUGAUUAGAUUGAUCCUUCCUUGCUCCACAUCCCUACUUCUUCUUAGUCCCUGCACAUUAGAACAAAUGUGAUAACCACAACCGGUAUCAAGAACCCAAGAAAUAGCAUGAUUAGAAUCGUUAGAUUUGAUUGUAUAUAUACCUGCGAAAGAUGGCUUGAUCUUUCCUUCUUUGAUUGCUUGCAGGUAAUCCGGGCAGCUUCUCUUCCAAUGUCCUAUCUUGUGGCAGUGGUGGCACUCUGCCUCCUUCGGGUUAGAGCAGGGCUUAGCGGGAUCAACUUUGGUCCCACUAGAAGAGGCACCAUCUCGGGCUUUCACCUUGCGAUAGUUCUUCGAUGAAGCUUUCCUCUUCUUUCCCUUCCCUUGUCCAAUAGCCAAGACAGGAGCAGCGGGCGGAUUGGGAGUAGGUGCAACAGACUUGUCUUUGAAGUUGCUCUCAGCAACCCUCAAGAGACCUUGGAGCUUGCUUAGGGUGACCUCUUCUUUGUUCAUGUGGUAGGUCAUCCUAAAUUGGUUGUACAUCGGAGGCAAAGAGUGAAGCACCAUGUCGAUCGCCAAGUCUUCACCGAAGUCAACAUUUAACUUGCGAAGGCGGUCGACAUACCUUUGCAUCUUUUGCAAGUGCACGGUAAGAGAUUCUCCAUGACCCAUCUUCGCGGAAAUCAUGUUAGUGAAAAUCUCGUACCUCUCUUGUCUCGCGUUUUGGUGGUACCUCUCCAAUAAGUCUUGGUGCAUCUCGUACGGGUACAUGUCCUCGUAGGACUUUUGGAAUUCGGAGUUCAUGGUGGCGAUCAUGAUGCAAUGUACCUUCGUUGCAUCUCGCUCAUGAGUUUCAAAGGCGGUGAUUUCGGCGGGAGUAGCAAUUUCGGGGUUGAUUUUCUCGAGCUUCUCAUCGAGGACAUACUCCUUAUCCUCAUAGCGAGCAAUGGUGCGAAUGUAUCUUAUCCAUUCGCUAAAGUUCGUUCCAUCGAAGGUGACCUUUUGGCAAAGGCUCAUCAACGUGAAAGAACUAGCAGCAGCGUUGUUUGCGUUCGACAUCUACAAUUAGAAAAGGACAAAGAUAGAUUAGAAUAAGAAUCCCUAAUUAUCACCCAAUAAGAAAAUUAGGGCUAGGAUCCAACAAUAACAUUUACAUACUAGAAAAGGGAUGCCGUAAUCUAACAUGCAAAUAAAUUGAAGGUAAGUGAAUGACGAUUCACUAAUUCUCCAUCACAAAACUUAAACUAUUAGUCCUAAGUGUUUUUGAGAAUUCCUAGGUUCGGAUGAGAUUCAUUGAAACUAUUCAAUGGCAUGUUUAAAUCUCGAUAUGCCCCUCUUGUUUGUGACUGGGAUACCGAGGAUCACAAAGCGGGUGUGAAUUACCAUGCAAAUUCACAUGGUGCCUUCAUUGUAACGAUCACCUAUUCGAUGUGCCGGUAAACCACACACGCUCCAUCGAACUAUGAUAAACAAUGAAUCACCCUUUGCCACCUUCGCUUAGAACCAAUUAGUGUGCCGGUAAACCACACACGCUCCACUAACAUCUUAGCAAGGUGCAAAGUGUAAUUUCAUGGGAUUGCAUCAAUUCACUUUUCCUAAAGUAACUAGGAUUGGGAAAUUUUAAAAUAUGUGUAGUUACUUUGUAUUUCUUAUUAUACUUUUAAUGAGAGGAUGAGGUUGCCCUAUCCUACCCGUUCGGCUAACGACCCUCCACCAAUCAAGCAAGCGGUGGGUGUGAGUGUACACCCAUUAAGCGCCAUUUUAUAGGCCGCAACCUUAUACCCACCUUAUAGAUCGGCUUCGUGAAUGAGGCCUACUAACGGUAAGACUAGCAUUUAGUUAUACAUAUAUAUAUUAUUCUAGUAAUAUCAUAUUAGUAUAGGGUUGUAUUUUAAAACUUUUAAAAUCUAGGGUUUGAAAUUUAAGUUGUCUAAAUUAAAACUUUUAAUCACAAAAGUAAAUUUCAAAACAUGAGGGUAGGUUUUAAACAUUUAAAACAUGGAGGAUCAAAUAACAAAUAAUUCCAAUUAACAAUUAAUAUCCUAAUUAUCUAUAUUUGAUUUAUUCAAGAUUUCUUUUAAGAUAAUUACCAAAAUAAUUAAAAUAAUUAAUUAAUUAUCAUAUAAGGAAAUUAAAUAUUUAAUUAGUUGAUAAUUACCUUUAACUAGAUCAAGAUAAUAGUUAUAUUUAUCAGAAAAACGAAUUAAUGUUGAUCUAAUUAGUUUAUGGUAAGUUAAGAUAAGAUAAACACAAAGAAAUCCCGAAUCUGGCCAUUCCUGACGCCUGGACUCGCCGAGUGCACAAAUGGACUCGCCGAGUCAGGCCUACUCGCCGAGUCCACUUUGAGACUCGCCGAGUCCAUGACUCAGAAACCAAAAAUUCGAAUUUUGCAGGUUUGUUUCAGUUAAUCAAGCAACAAUUUAAAGAAAACCAAGCUAGGCUCUGAUACCACUGAUGGGUUUUAGCCAUAAGAACUUUCCUAUGUGCGCAUGCAAAACCCUAAUGCUUGGAUCUAGGCUUUCUAAUAAACAUGCUUUGAAUCCAAGACUUCUAAUGACUAAUUAGGUUAAAUAACAACAUUGAAACAGAUCUAGAAUCAUACCUUUGAGUUCCUUGUUGAUCUUGAGGUCUUGGAGCUUCUAGAGUCACAAAUGUCACUCCUCUAAUGGCUUACAAACACCAAAGCAAGGAGGAUGAUUUGGGAGAGAGGAGAGGGGAGGAAUUCGACCAGAGUUCUCUUGCUUUUUCAGAAGUGUCGAAUUCCCUAUGCCAUGGGGUCUAUUUAUACUUGUAGACUCCUUAAGGAUUACAGAUAAGUCCCUAUCAGAUAAUCUUCUCUUAAGGCUAUCCAAAUCCAUUCCUAGAUAACUCUAAUGGACGAUUUUAGCUAUCCUAAUCCUCUUAGAAUUCGUCCAUAGCAUAUCCAAAUGGAUUUACAGUCUAAAGCUUAACUAUCAAACAAUUGACAGUUUAUACCCCUUUAUUUAAUUAAUCUCUUUAAGUCACCAAAUUAAUUCUAAUUAAUUCUAUGACUUAUAUUAAUCAAAUAACAAAUAUAUUAUUCAUUAUAUUAUUCUCAUAAUAUAUUAAUAAUAUUUACUCUCUCUUAAUAAAUCAUCCUAUCAAGUUGCUAUGGUGAAGGCAACCCAAAAGGACCAUGCACAACCGGAUCAAAUACUUGCCUAAUAUAGUUACAGCCUUAGACACUAUUCCAACAGUCUCCCACUUGGAUAAGUCUAGUAACUAUACAAGUACAAUUCGGUUUGCAAUCGUAGCUCUCAAAGACGCUGUCAACUCUGAUCUAAUCAAUCUUGUCCUUUAGAUAAGGGAACGUACAGUCCUCUGUUAGAUAUCAUGCUGACAAUCCUAUGGAAUGGUUAGUCAAGCAUUUAGGUUUCUCGAUCUCUGAUUUAUUUGACAUAGAACUUAAUCGAACACAUCAAUUCAGUUCUGACCGGGCCCGGC